GACGAACGCUGGCGGCGUGCUUAAUACAUGCAAGUCGAGCGAGGUUACUGCGACAGAUCUCUUCGGGGUGAAGUUGCUUUAGCCUAGCGGCGGACGGGUGAGUAACGCGUGGGUAACCUACCCUAAAGUUCGGGAUAACAGCGGGAAACCGCUGCUAAUACCGGAUGCCUUUACCGUGUGGCAUCACAGGGUAAAGAAAGGUAACGCUUUAGGAUGGGCCCGCGUCCCAUUAGCUAGUUGGUGAGGUAACAGCUCACCAAGGCGACGAUGGGUAGCCGGCCUGAGAGGGUGGACGGCCACACUGGGACUGAGACACGGCCCAGACUCCUACGGGAGGCAGCAGUAGGGAAUAUUGCGCAAUGGACGGAAGUCUGACGCAGCGACGCCGCGUGAGCGAUGAAGGCCUUCGGGUUGUAAAGCUCUGUCCUUGGGGAAGAAGGUCUUCGGACUUGACGGUACCCAAGAAGGAAGCCCCGGCUAACUACGUGCCAGCAGCCGCGGUAAUACGUAGGGGGCGAGCGUUGUCCGGAAUUACUGGGCGUAAAGGGUGCGUAGGCGGCCCUUUAAGUCAGAUGUGAAAGCCCGCAGCUUAACUGCGGAAUUGCAUUUGAAACUGGAGGGCUUGAGUGUCGGAGAGGGUAGUGGAAUUCCCAGUGUAGCGGUGAAAUGCGUAGAUUUUGGGAGGAACACCAGUGGCGAAGGCGACUGCCUGGACGAUAACUGACGCUGAGGCACGAAAGCUAGGGGAGCAAACAGG
rnacentral:rRNA from 1 species